rnacentral:rRNA from 1 species
CCUACGGGCGGCUGCAGUGAGGAAUAUUGCACAAUGGGCGAGAGCCUGAUCCAGCCAAGUCGCGUGAAGGAUGAAGGAUCUAUGGUUUGUAAACUUCUUUUAUAUGGGAGUAAAGUGAGGAACGUGUUCCAUAUUGUAUGUACCAUAUGAAUAAGCAUCGGCUAACUCCGGGCCAGCAGCCGCGGUAAUCCGGAGGAGGCGAGAGUUAUCCGGAUUUAUUGGGUUUAAAGGGUGCGUAGGUGGUUAAUUAAGUCAGCGGUGAAAGUUUGUGGCUCAACCAUAAAAUUGCCGUUGAAACUGGUUGACUUGAGUAUAUUUGAGGUAGGCGGAAUGCGUGGUGUAGCGGUGAAAUGCAUAGAUAUCACGCAGAACUCCGAUGGCGAAGGCAGCUUACUAAACUAUAACUGACACUGAGGCGCGAAAGCGUGGGGAGCAAACAGGAUUAGAUACCCUGGUAGUC